rnacentral:rRNA from 1 species
UGGUGGAGUGAUUUGUCUGGUUAAUUCCGUUAACGAACGAGACCUCGAUCUGCUAAAUAGACACAUUGAUUCUUUGGAUCUAUUGUGCGCUUCUUAGAGAGGCUAUCGGUUAGUAGCCGAAGGAGGUUCGAGGCAAUAACA